AUGGUACAGCUUACAGGCUUACA
rnacentral:siRNA from 1 species